UACGUAGGGUGCGAGCGUUAAUCGGAGUUACUGGGCGUAAAGCGUGCGCAGGCGGUUCUCCAAGUCCGUUGUGAAAGCCCCGGGCUCAACCUGGGAAUGGCAGUGGAAACUAGGGGACUGAAUCUGGCAGAGGGGGGUGGAAUUCCACGGUGUAGCAGUGAAAAUGCGUAGAGAUGUGGAGGAACACCGAUGGCGAAGGCAGCCCCCUGGGCUGAGAUUGGACGCUCAGGCACGAAAGCGUGGGGAGCAAA
rnacentral:rRNA from 1 species